AGAACGUUGUAGCUACCGACAAAUCUGGAAUGGCGAAAUUGCUCUCUACAACAAAUGAGAUUGGUACUUGUCUUUUUUCAACUCUGGAAUCUCACUUCUCAGAAGCUAUGGACAGUGAUAAGUCCUCUACCAGAAAUAAUUCUUCAAUUGAAGCGCAACAUGUGAAGGUUUAUGAUAAGUUGAAUAGAACAAUUUCAUCACUUGUACUAUCAUAUGAUGAAAUCUCAG
rnacentral:misc_RNA from 1 species